CUGAAUCCAUAGGUUAAUGAGGCGAACCGGGGGAACUGAAACAUCUAAGUACCCCGAGGAAAAGAAAUCAACCGAGAUUCCCCCAGUAGCGGCGAGCGAACGGGGAGGAGCCCAGAGCCUGAAUCAGUGUGUGUGUUAGUGGAAGCGUCUGGAAAGGCGCGCGAUACAGGGUGACAGCCCCGUACACAAAAAUGCACAUACUGUGAGCUCGAUGAGUAGGGCGGGACACGUGGUAUCCUGUCUGAAUAUGGGGGGACCAUCCUCCAAGGCUAAAUACUCCUGACUGACCGAUAGUGAACCAGUACCGUGAGGGAAAGGCGAAAAGAACCCCGGCGAGGGGAGUGAAAAAGAACCUGAAACCGUGUACGUACAAGCAGUGGGAGCCUCUUAAUGGGGUGACUGCGUACCUUUUGUAUAAUGGGUCAGCGACUUAUAUUCUGUAGCAAGGUUAACCGAAUAGGGGAGCCGAAGGGAAACCGAGUCUUAACUGGGCGUUAAGUUGCAGGGUAUAGACCCGAAACCCGGUGAUCUAGCCAUGGGCAGGUUGAAGGUUGGGUAACACUAACUGGAGGACCGAACCGACUAAUGUUGAAAAAUUAGCGGAUGACUUGUGGCUGGGGGUGAAAGGCCAAUCAAACCGGGAGAUAGCUGGUUCUCCCCGAAAGCUAUUUAGGUAGCGCCUCGUGAAUUCAUCUCCGGGGGUAGAGCACUGUUUCGGCAAGGGGGUCAUCCCGACUUACCAACCCGAUGCAAACUGCGAAUACCGGAGAAUGUUAUCACGGGAGACACACGGCGGGUGCUAACGUCCGUCGUGAAGAGGGAAACAACCCAGACCGCCAGCUAAGGUCCCAAAGUCAUGGUUAAGUGGGAAACGAUGUGGGAAGGCCCAGACAGCCAGGAUGUUGGCUUAGAAGCAGCCAUCAUUUAAAGAAAGCGUAAUAGCUCACUGGUCGAGUCGGCCUGCGCGGAAGAUGUAACGGGGCUAAACCAUGCACCGAAGCUGCGGCAGCGACACUAUGUGUUGUUGGGUAGGGGAGCGUUCUGUAAGCCUGUGAAGGUGUACUGUGAGGUAUGCUGGAGGUAUCAGAAGUGCGAAUGCUGACAUAAGUAACGAUAAAGCGGGUGAAAAGCCCGCUCGCCGGAAGACCAAGGGUUCCUGUCCAACGUUAAUCGGGGCAGGGUGAGUCGACCCCUAAGGCGAGGCCGAAAGGCGUAGUCGAUGGGAAACAGGUUAAUAUUCCUGUACUUGGUGUUACUGCGAAGGGGGGACGGAGAAGGCUAUGU
rnacentral:rRNA from 1 species